GAAACUAUAGUGCUAGGAAUACAAAGUUUUUUUCCUAGCACUAUUGAACUCCCCUCCCUUGCAGCACUGAAAGGGUUAAAAAAAAAACCCAACAAAACUCAAACAUUAAUUAACGAACCUGAUUCCAGCGCCAAUGAUCCUUGGCGUUUGGUCAGGCUCCGGCUCCUCUUCACCUCAGCCGACGGGGAGGAACUAAUGUGCAUGCGUG